UAGCCUCGUCUCUACCUUACCGGGGUUAGGCUAGAUACUUACCAACACAUGGGGUCGGUUGUGAUGAUGCUACAUUUUGUACUCUUUUGCAAAGAUCCAGGUGUUGGAGCAGCUUUUGAACAACAUUAUUAGUUGGAGGGCUUCUUUCAGUCCACACGGAGACCCAAGUUGGGCAUGUAGGCGUCCGCAGGUCCUAGCGUCCUCCUUUAUCUCAUUUCCUGUUUCCUUAACUUGUC
rnacentral:lncRNA from 1 species